AGUGUCUGGUGGGUAGUUUGACUGGGGCGGUCUCCUCCCAAAGAGUAACGGAGGAGCACGAAGGUUGGCUAAUCCUGGUCGGACAUCAGGAGGUUAGUGCAAUGGCAUAAGCCAGCUUGACUGCGAGCGUGACGGCGCGAGCAGGUGCGAAAGCAGGUCAUAGUGAUCCGGUGGUUCUGAAUGGAAGGGCCAUCGCUCAACGGAUAAAAGGUACUCCGGGGAUAACAGGCUGAUACCGCCCAAGAGUUCAUAUCGACGGCGGUGUUUGGCACCUCGAUGUCGGCUCAUCACAUCCUGGGGCUGAAGUAGGUCCCAAGGGUAUGGCUGUUCGCCAUUUAAAGUGGUACGCGAGCUGGGUUUAGAACGUCGUGAGACAGUUCGGUCCCUAUCUGCCGUGGGCGCUGGAGAAUUGAGGGGGGCUGCUCCUAGUACGAGAGGACCGGAGUGGACGCAUCACUGGUGUUCGGGUUGUCAUGCCAAUGGCACUGCCCGGUAGCUAAAUGCGGAAGAGAUAAGUGCUGAAAGCAUCUAAGCACGAAACUUGCCCC
rnacentral:rRNA from 1 species